UCUUUUAGAUACACUACACUGCACUACACUGUACUAGUGGCACUAUAGUUGAUAUCACGUGAUCUCACGCCUUUCAAGCACGGGAGUGCAAGCAGUAUCUGAAAGCAGGAAACAAAUCGGGGAUAAAUGUAUGCGCGCGCAUGUGUAGCGAGUGGGACGUGAUUAACCUAAGAAAAAGAGAACCAAGAGAACGACUGUGACCAUAUGGCAACGAGAAUUUUGCGGGAAAGAAUUAUCGGAUCAAGAAUUUGCUAGGAAAUUUGCAAGGCUAAAUUUUAAUGUACAAUUUGUGUGUUACACAAAAAGUAGAAGUUUUACACCCAAUGCAUACAUUGCAAAACCUGACUUAUUUGCUUCAUACCGAAAUUAUUGAUCUUGGAAGAGAUUUUUGCGGGAAACAGAUAUCGGACCAAAAAUAUGCUAGGAAAGUUGCAAGACUAAAUAGUAAUGUACUACAUUUGUGUCUUACGCAAAAUACAAAACUAGUUUUACACUCAAUGCAUAUAUUGCAAAAUCUGAUGCAUUUGCUCAAUACCGAAAUUAGUGAUCACGGAAAAGAAUUUUGCGGGAAACAAAUAUCAGACUAAAAAUUUGCUAGGAAAGUUGCAAGACUAAAUAGUAAUGUACUACAUUUGUGCCUUACGCAAAAUACAAAACUAGAAGUUUUGCACCCAAUGCAUACAUUGCAAAAUCUGAUGCAUUUGCUAAAUACUGAAAUUAGUGAUUUUGGAAGAAUUGGACCAAUGGAAAUCAAUUUGUCUGUAAGAGCACAACUUCACAAUCGGUUAGUUCCCGACUACUCAAGAUAUGAAAUGUAGUGAAGAAAAGUAUGUGAUAUAAUGUAUGUGAUAUUAUAUGAUACGUGAUAUUAUGUGAUAUAUGAUUUUAUGUAAUAUACUCGUAGUAGGACUCGACGAUUAUAUUGUUGCUUAUUUGGAUACGUUAAUUUUUGUUAUUUGCAAGAAACUAACUUUGUAUUGCAUAUAUAAUUUAUGCAUAGAUAUAUUCAUUAAAUAUAUUUUUAUGCAGA